rnacentral:rRNA from 1 species
UACGUAGGGUGCAGGCGUUAAUCGGAACUACUGGGCGUAAAGCGUGCGCAGGCGGUUUCUUAAGUCAGAUGUGAAAGCCCCGGGCUUAACCUGGGAACUGCGUUUGAAACUGGGAGACUUGAGUGUGGCAGAGGGGGGUGGAAUUCCACGUGUAGCAGUGAAAUGCGUAGAUAUGUGGAGGAACACCAAUGGCGAAGGCAGCCCCCUGGGUCAACACUGACGCUCAUGCACGAAAGCGUGGGGAGCAAACAGG